AAAGGUGGAUGAGUGGUGUUUGNUUUGUCACGUGUGGUUGGCUGCGGCGUUUGCAACAACUUCCAUGCUUUCAGACCUCUUCAGUUGUGCGGCAAGGCUUGUAUCGCCUUGCUGUAUUGUGGGUUUUCUGUGUUGAAUACCUAAUCAAUGGUAUCGGUUGGAUUUAUCAAUGUUUCAUUUCGUCUGUCGUCGCAUUCGCGGCGUGRGACGAACCUUGAUGCGGUCUCUUUGGWCCACCUCGUUGAAGCACAUGCUUUGACGUUGUGGCACAUUGAGCAUUGCUUGGUCUCUUGUAUACGGAACAUAUAGUGGGCAUGGAUCUAACGAUUCUUSUUUGCCCUCAUGUUAGCGUAACGCUUCUCUUACACGACUUGCUCCAYGUUUUAGCUCGUACGGACGUGGUGCUAUGUCGAAGAGGAAUGCUACCUG
rnacentral:misc_RNA from 1 species